rnacentral:rRNA from 1 species
CCGACGGGUGAGUAACACGUAUCCAACCUGCCGUCUACUCUUGGCCAGCCUUCUGAAAGGAAGAUUAAUCCAGGAUGGCAUCAUGAGUUCACAUGUCCGCAUGAUUAAAGGUAUUUUCCGGUAGACGAUGGGGAUGCGUUCCAUUAGAUAGUAGGCGGGGUAACGGCCCACCUAGUCUUCGAUGGAUAGGGGUUCUGAGAGGAAGGUCCCCCACAUUGGAACUGAGACACGGUCCAA